rnacentral:rRNA from 1 species
UACGGAGGGUGCGAGCGUUGUCCGGAAUCACUGGGCGUAAAGGGCGCGUAGGCGGCGCGGGCAGUCAACGGUGAAAGCUUGGGGCUCAACCCCGAGUCGGCCGUCGAUACUCCCGGGCUGGAGCACUGUAGAGGCAGGUGGAAUUCCGGGUGUAGCGGUGGAAUGCGUAGAUAUCGGAAGGAACACCGGUGGCGAAAGCGGCGCGCUGGACCUCUUCUGACGCUGAGGCGCGAAAGCCAGGGGAGCAAACGGG